rnacentral:rRNA from 1 species
GAACGCGUGGCUUCGGCCCGAGUGGCGCACGGGUGAGUAACGCGUGGGAACCUGCCCCGGAGUGGGGGAUAACCGAGGGAAACCUCGGCUAAUACCGCAUACGGCCUGAGGGCGAAAGAUUUAUCGCUCCGGGAGGGGCCCGCGUCGGAUUAGCUAGUUGGCGGGGUAACGGCCCACCAAGGCUAUGAUCCGUAGCUGGCCUGAGAGGAUGAUCAGCCACACUGGGACUGAGACACGGCCCAGACUCCUACGGGAGGCAGCAGUGGGGAAUAUUGGACAAUGGGCGCAAGCCUGAUCCAGCAAUGCCGCGUGGGUGAUGAAGGCCUUAGGGUUGUAAAGCCCUUUUGGCGGGGACGAUGAUGACGGUACCCGCAGAAGAAGCCCCGGCUAACUUCGUGCCAGCAGCCGCGGUAAUACGAAGGGGGCGAGCGUUGUUCGGAAUUACUGGGCGUAAAGGGCGCGCAGGCGGCGUCGGAAGUCGGGCGUGAAAGCCCCGGGCUCAACCUGGGAAUUGCGCUUGAUACUCCGAUGCUGGAGUUCGGGAGAGGAGAGUGGAAUUCCCAGUGUAGAGGUGAAAUUCGUAGAUAUUGGGAAGAACACCGGUGGCGAAGGCGGCUCUCUGGACCGAGACUGACGCUGAGGCGCGAAAGCGUGGGGA